rnacentral:rRNA from 1 species
AUUGAACGCUGGCGGCAGGCCUAACACAUGCAAGUCGAGCGGAUGAGUGGAGCUUGCUCCAUGAUUCAGCGGCGGACGGGUGAGUAAUGCCUAGGAAUCUGCCUGGUAGUGGGGGACAACGUUUCGAAAGGAACGCUAAUACCGCAUACGUCCUACGGGAGAAAGCAGGGGACCUUCGGGCCUUGCGCUAUCAGAUGAGCCUAGGUCGGAUUAGCUAGGAGGUGAGGUAAAGGCUCGCCUAGGCGACGAUCCGUAACUGGUCUGAGAGGAUUAUCAGUCACACUGGAACUGAGACACGGUCCAGACUCCUACGGGAGGCAGCAGUGGGGAAUAUUGGACAAUGGGCGAAAGCCUGAUCCAGCCAUGCCGCGUGUGUGAAGAAGGUCUUCGGAUUGCAAAGCACUUUAAGUUGGGAGGAAGGGCAGUAAGCUAAUACCUUGCUGUUUUGACGUUACCAACAGAAUAAGCACCGGCUAACUUCGUGCCAGCCGCCGCGGUAAAAC